GGGGCGCUAGUUCAGCGGUAGAAUUUCGGUCUGUGGCACCGAAGAGCCGGGUUCAAGUCCCGGACGCCCCU
rnacentral:tRNA from 1 species